GGGCGGGGCUCCGGGUGGGUGGCCAAGGGGGACUGCACGGAGGGGGCACCUCCUUUCUGCAGCUGGGCCCUUGGCGGGGGCGCCUGCGGGGCAUCCUUGGAGCCUUCCAGACGCGACCUCAGCAAGUGCAAAGGCCCUGGGGUUUGGGCCCUGUAGCGGUCACGUGGCAACAUGUCAGUGUAUCAGUCACCACGUCUUCCUCCCAAAGUCAUAUCUACAAGGUUUCGGAUCAGAUGCGUUAGGAAGGAGAGCGGGGAGGGAGGUGGCGGGCGGCCCGCGCUGCACGGCUCGGGACGGAGUUUGAGGUCCGUGUUCCGUGCGGCGGGAGGCGCGUGUGGGUUUCCAUCUGGCGAGUGGUCCGAUCUGAUUGCGUUUCCGAAAGACCGGGCCCCUGCCGCCUGCCAGCCAAAUCUGGGCGACUUCCCGUUUUAGAGCCGAGAAUAAGACUGGGUCUCGGGCUUUUAGGGGGAAGGAAGGAAGAAAAAAAAAAAGCAUGUUUCGUGAGAGUGAAAGUGAUAUGAAAUUCCGACCCGGUCUUGCCAGGCCAGCUGCGCCCGGGCCUCUCCCAGCCGAGGAGCAGAAGGAGAAGUUGCGACCAGACAGAAGGCCCCUCAAAACUUAAAAUGUCCCCGCCCCGCCCCCUCUCGGGCAGAGCUGCAGACCUCUGGGGUGGAGACCAGGUUGUAUGGGGCGGGAGGCCAGCAGCAAGCUGGGUACGAGAGGCUGUUCUUUAAACUUUUCUGUCCGUUCAGACAUUUUUUUAAAUAUAAAGUUAAGGAAACAUUGAUGAACGGAUGCGCAGAUAAAGCAGACGUGGCCCUCCACGUGGUGGAAUAUUACGCAGCCGUGAACAGGCAGGGAGCCCCCACGCCUGCCGCCAGGUGGACCCACCGGGAGACCAGGAUGCUGAGUGAGGUCACAGGAGACCUGGUUCACCCUCUUGUGUGACAUGCCCAGAGCAGGCCGGCUGCAAAGACUAGAAGUGGACUCGUGGUCGCCAGGGGCCAGGAGAGGGGGCCUGGGGUGACAGGUGGCGGCAGAGGGACUCGGGGUCCUCGGUGGUGGAGAUGGUCCCCGGACUCUGUGACUAGGCGGCUCCGUCUGCGUUCCCCAGGGUAGAGUUGUUUUUGUUUGUGUGUUUUUACGUGAGUCACGUGUCCUUACAAAAACACGGAGCAGGAAGAAGGCAGUGCCUGUGCCAGGUCUUGCUCCACUCCCGGGGCUGGCUGCCUGGGGACGGGCUGUGGCUGGGGCGGGAAGCAGGCCAGGUCGGUCUCGGACGGUCCGUCCGUCAUGUGCUGGCCCUCCUCAUCUGGGGAGAGCUUUGUGGCAUUCGGGUGCUGUGUGCCAGGGGAGACCCGUGGGCGGUGUGUGGGGCGGCCGCGGGAGCCCUGGGUAACUGGGAAGGAGACGCCGCUGAGGAAGGGGCGGGUGGUUGCCGAUGCCGACGGCCAGCCCGUGCGUCCCCAGCGCUGACCUUUUCCAGAGGUCACGCCAUCCUCCACGGCUGGAUCGGGGCCUUGGAAUCGUGACCCGAAAGAAGAAAAGCUCAUUUUACCGUAAAGACAGCAAGCGACACUUUUUUUUUUCCUGGAGGGGAAAUAAUCGCACUCCUGGGCACUUUAAGGAAUUUUUCCAAAGCAGCCAGCUGGCGGACUCACGCCACACGCCCCCGUCUCUUCUCUGUGCUUCUGCGACCGACACUGUGGUCUCCUCCCAGCGGUCACACGGUCCCUGGGCGUGGGGCAGGGCCGAUGACGUAACGUGACUAAUAUGAAGUGACGGCCGGCUCCUCGCCCGAGGCAUGUGACCCCGUGUGCCCGAGCCAGCGCCCGCGUGUUCCCCAGAAAUCACGGGCUAUUCAGGGCCUCGUUCGGGCUGAGCUCUCCCAAGUACUUCCCGGCGAAUUACACGCGGAGGUUUAAGUAACCUGACUGGCAGGUCACACAGGAUGUGAGGUGGGAUCCUAAACUCAGGCGUGUGCCUGGCUCCUGGAGGGCUAAUUUCUAUGCUUCGUUGAAGGGGAUCUGAGCGUGUCGGCGGGACCAAGUGCCACUUGGAUCCAUGAGCCGUGUCUGCACUCCUUGUAGCUUUACGUGGACACCCCCUUCCCUUUUAAGCUCCCCUCCCCUCCCCCCUCCAAACAAAAAGACUUUUUGUGUAUAUUUAGUUUUAUCUUCUCUGUAGCCACUUCUCUGCUCACAGUUCCUCUUUCCUGUCUCUAGGGUAGCGUGAACGUUUUGAGUCCAGCCUAGUAACACUGAAAUGAAUGUGUCGCCAUGAACAGCUGUCUCAGAUGAUAAAAAUUCCCCUACAAAUCGCUGACUCAGUGUCACGCCAGCAUUUGGUCUAGGACCCGUGUCCAGUUCUGACGUGGGAGGGAGAAGGUUUACUUAGAAUUUAGAAUUUCAGUUUGAGGUGGUGCCACUGUUUGAUUGCAGUUGGCAGAUUAAUUUCCAACACCGUAAACAAUCCGGGCCCAAGUAUCGGUUCAGGAGACCCGGACCUGCGUAAAGGUUGCCUGUGUGCGGUUCAUCGCUGCUGUCCGGGCCUCCGUGAGGGGCCGCGUUUGGUAUUGAGAAAGGAGUUUGUCUCGUGGGUCAGAAUUCCGAGCUGUUCCUGGAGCUGAGACGGCCCAGCUUUCCCAGACCCUGUCACGCGAGACGGCAGCCUGACCGGCCCUGGCAUGAGCCCAGCCCGGCCUUAGCUCCUGAGUUCCAAGGGUUCAUGAAGGGAAGUUGGCUGGAAGCGACUCGGGGCGAGCGGAGACGUGAGAGACGUGAAAAUCCACGCGGCAAGGGAAGCCGUGGGCCUGCGCCUGCGUGUACGGUCCAGCGCUCUGGGCUCCGUGUGAGCGUGCACCCCAGACACCCCCUCUUCUUCCCCUGGGGCCGGUGUUUGCCCGGGUCCAGGAGUCGGUUGGAGUUUCCCGGGACUCCCUCCCCUGUCGGAGCCUUGCGGGGCCACAGAGAGCCCUCCUCCCCCAGACAGGCUCAGCGUCAGCCUGCGACUCCCUCCUUGCUCCAGAUUUCCCGGGCACAGCCGUGCCGCCGUGGUCGGGGGCCGGCCGCGGUGGUGAGGCCGCCGUGGUGAGCGGGAGGUCUGCACGCGGCCUGUGCGCCUGCAUGUUGAAGCAGCAGCCAGGUGUCCCACGCAGGUGUCCAGAGGCUGUCCUGGGACUGUCUCCGGGGUUGGCUGGAUGGAGGUGUAGUUAGAGGCGCAGUCCGGACUGUGUGGUGAUGGGGGGUGGGUGCUUUCUUAUAGGGGCCCUGAGUGGGCCGGAAACGUGUUGAUGGUGCUGUGAUGACAACAGUAAUUAUAUAAAUAUGCAGGUUUUUACAUUUAAUUUGGUUUUUUCCUUCACCAUUUAGCCUCUUGACCCUAUACCCUCCUCCUAAAUAUAUUUUUUAACAUAUAAAACCACUACGGCUCAGCCGGGUGGCUCAGCCUCCUAGGAACCAGGAGGUCACGGUUCAGUUCCCGGUGAGGGCACAGGCCCGGGCGGCGGGCUCCAUCCCCAGUGGGGGGCGUGCAGGAGGCAGCGGACCCAUGAUUCUCUCUCAUCACUGAUGUUUCUCUCUCCCCCUUUUUCUCUGAAAUAAAAAAUAUUAAAAAAUAACAAAC